rnacentral:rRNA from 1 species
UUAGAGUUUGAUCCUGGCUCAUAACGAACGCUGGCGGCGUGCUUAACACAUGCAAGUCUACGAGAACGAGGUAGCAAUAUCUUUAGUAAAGUGGCGUACGGGUGCGUAACACGUAAGUAAUCUACCUUUGGGUUCGGAAUAACUUCGGGAAAUCGGAGCUAAUACCGGAUAAUGCAGCGGCACCGCAUGGUGAUGUUGUUAAAGUUUGUGUAAUGCCUAAAGAUGAACUUGCGUCUGAUUAGCUAGUUGGUGAGGUAAUGGCUCACCAAGGCUGCGAUCAGUAGCUGGUCUGAGAGGAUGAUCAGCCACACUGGAACUGAGACACGGUCCAGACUCCUACGGGAGGCAGCAGUGAGGAAUAUUGGGCAAUGCCCGAAAGGGUGACCCAGCAACGCCGCGUGGAGGAUGAAGGUCGUAAGAUUGUAAACUCCUGUUAGAGGGGAAGAAUAACUAAGUUUGGAGCUUAGUAUGACUGUACCCUCAGAGAAAGCCCCGGCUAACUACGUGCCAGCCGCCGCGGUAAUUCAA